CGGCAAGUCCCAUACGACCAGCUCCUGCUGAAUCCUCCAGGACGGGAACGUAGCAAAGGUAGGCGGUUGUAGCGGUGCGAUAUGGGUAGCUUGCCAUUU
rnacentral:SRP_RNA from 1 species